AUGUUUAUUGUCCCCUCUCGCUCGGUCUGGACUCUGCAGGUAGGGCGGGCUCUUUUUCUGAGUGAGAACACCGUGAGGCUCGGGAAUUUUAUGUUGACGGAGGUCACAGGAGAUUCCAGGUGGAACAGGCUUGCCCUCCCCUCCCCUCUCCUGGUGCAGAGGCCUGUGCUUGGGGCUGCCUUUCCCCUAACCGGUCUCCAUCUGGCUUCCCACUCAAGCCAGGCCCGCGACCAAGCUGCACUUGCUCGCACUUGCCCGUGGCCCCUGUGGGUGUUUCCCAGACGGUGGUACUUGCCCUCGGUGCUCCUCUCCUGCCACAAUCCCAGAGAGCUCCGGGCAGAGCUGCUUCUUUUAACCCUCGGCAGUGGUUUUGAAGAGGAGAGGCGUGCGAAGGACGGUCUGAGUAUUUGGUAAACAAGGAGGGCUGGUGUCUCUCCAGAGGACACACUCUGUGUAGCUCGGUGGGCUCUGGCUCAAGCUCCCUUCUCCACCCCGGGUGCCGGGGCAGGUGCCCGGCUGGCCUUUUGCGCUGGGACCGGGAGAGGGGCUGCCCCCGUCUCCCGUUUUCCUACAUUUCACCUCUGUGGGGCCGCGGGAUCAGAAGCUCGCAAGGAAAACCGAUGCCCUUUUCCCGCAGUGAAAUUAACCAGAAUCACGUGGAAAACAAUCCCAGCCUCGUAGGAAAGAAGAGCCAUUAAAAUGCGCCCUGAGCGAUGGGCUGCACCCAAUCUUGCAGCCUGGUGCUCGGCGGCAGCAGACAGGAGGCUGCUCCCCGGGAUGGAGGGAGCCUUGUUGUAGUGCCACAAUUAAAAUCAGCUCCUCUGCCAAAAAAUAAAAGGGAGGAGGGAAGAAGCA
rnacentral:lncRNA from 12 species